rnacentral:rRNA from 1 species
UACGUAGGAUGCGAGCGUUGUCCGGAUUUAUUGGGCGUAAAGAGUUCGUAGGUGGUUUUAUAAGUCUGGUGUCAAAGGCUGGGGCUCAACCCUGGAUGUGCACUGGAUACUGUAAGACUGGAGUGCAGUAGAGGCAAGCGGAAUUCCCAGUGUAGCGGUGAAAUGCGUAGAUAUUGGGAAGAACACCGGUGGCGCAAGCGGCUUGCUGGGCUGUAACUGACACUGAGGAACGAAAGCUAGGGGAGCGAAUGGG